AUUGAACGCUGGCGGAAUGCUUUACACAUGCAAGUCGAGCGGCAGCACGGGGGCAACCCUGGUGGCGAGCGGCGAACGGGUGAGUAAUACAUCGGAACAUGCCCAGUCGUGGGGGAUAACACUUCGAAAGAAGUGCUAAUACCGCAUACGUCCUGAGGGAGAAAGCGGGGGACCUUCGGACCUCGCGCGAUUGGAGUGGCCAAUGUCGGAUUAGCUAGUUGGUGGGGUAAAGGCCUACCAAGGCAACGAUCUGUAGCUGGUCUGAGAGGAUGAUCAGCCACACUGGGACUGAGACACGGCCCAGACUCCUACGGGAGGCAGCAGUGGGGAAUUUUGGACAAUGGGCGCAAGCCUGAUCCAGCAAUGCCGCGUGCAGGAAGAAGGCCUUCGGGUUGUAAACUGCUUUUGUCAGGGAAGAAAUCCUCUAGGCUAAUACCUUGGGGGGAUGACGGUACCUGAAGAAUAAGCACCGGCUAACUACGUGCCAGCCGCCGCGGUAAUAC
rnacentral:rRNA from 1 species